AUGAACGCUGGCGGCGUGCCUAAUACAUGCAAGUCGAGCGAACAGACGAGGAGCUUGCUCCUCUGACGUUAGCGGCGGACGGGUGAGUAACACGUGGAUAACCUACCUAUAAGACUGGGAUAACUUCGGGAAACCGGAGCUAAUACCGGAUAAUAUAUUGAACCGCAUGGUUCAAUAGUGAAAGACGGUUUUGCUGUCACUUAUAGAUGGAUCCGCGCCGCAUUAGCUAGUUGGUAAGGUAACGGCUUACCAAGGCAACGAUGCGUAACCGACCUGAGAGGGUGAUCGGCCACACUGGAACUGAGACACGGUCCAGACUCCUACGGGAGGCAGCAGUAGGGAAUCUUCCGCAAUGGGCGAAAGCCUGACGGAGCAACGCCGCGUGAGUGAUGAAGGUCUUCGGAUCGUAAAACUCUGUUAUUAGGGAAGAACAAAUGUGUAAGUAACUAUGCACGUCUUGACGGUACCUAUCAGAAAGCCACGGCUAACUACGUG
rnacentral:rRNA from 1 species